AGGAAUAUGCCUUAAAGAGGGGGACAACUUGGGGAAACUCAAGCUAAUACCGCAUAAUAUCUGAGGAUGAAAGCUGGGGACCUUAGGGCCUGGCGCUUUAAGAUUAGCCUGCGUCUGAUUAGCUAGUUGGUAGGGUAAAGGCCUACCAAGGCGACGAUCGGUAGCUGUUCUGAGAGGAUGAUCAGCCACACUGGAACUGAGACACGGUCCAGACUCCUACGGGAGGCAGCAGUGGGGAAUAUUGGACAAUGGGGGGAACCCUGAUCCAGCAAUGCCGCGUGUGUGAAGAAGGCCUGAGGGUUGUAAAGCACUUUCGCCUAGGAGGAGGGUUGAUGGGUUAAGAGCUGAUUGACUGGACGAUACUGGGAGAAGAAGCACCGGCUAACUCCGUGCCAGCAGCCGCGGUAAUACGGAGGGUGCGAGCGUUAAUCGGAAUUACUGGGCGUAAAGGGUGCGUAGGUGGUUGAAUAAGUUAUGUGUAAAAUCCCUGGGCUUAACCUGGGCAGGCCACAUAAUACUGUUUGACUCGAGUCCAGGAGAGGGUAGUGGAAUUUCCGGU
rnacentral:rRNA from 1 species